GACAAAAUAUAAUAAAAAAUUAAAAAAAAAAAAAACAAAACAAAACCUUAAAAAUGCUCAACAGAAAGGAACGUAAUACAUUUGCUACACAGUCCUGGAACGCACUAUGCAUAUUAUAAAAGACGCGAUACAGCGUGUAACAGUCUCUAUUUUCGGGGGUGGGGGUGAAAUUCGACACAAAUGUAUACAAAUGAACAAACUAAUACAAUGUUAUGUAUUUUAAAUCAUAUAUAUUUCCUAUAAAACGAACGUUUUAUUCCAUAACAUAAUGGUUUUUUUUUUUGUUUUGUCUGUUCUCAUAAUAUUAUUAUUAUAAUUUUUUUUUUUUUUUUUUUUUAUUUAAUUCUUAUAAUAAAUACGACCGAACGUAACAAAUGUUUUACAAAACUAAUAAUUAACCAACAGCUUUUAUAAUAUUUUAUAUUUUUUAUAAUACUUAUUAAUUAAUUAGAAUUAUUUUUACAAUUGACUACAUGUUUUUUGUAUAUAAUAAUUAAAUAAUAAUAAUGUAGGUGUUUUCGGUGUGUGUGUGUGUGUGUGUAAGUGUGUGUGUGUAAGUGUGUAUGUGUGUAUGUAUGUGUGUAUGUGUGUGUGUAUGUGUGUGUGUGUGUGUGAAAUAACAUUAUUAAAUAUAGCUAUGGGUAAAUAUAUGAACUUAACGUUUGUAAACAAAUAGUCUAAAUAUUUUAAAUUGAUCAAUAUAAUAAUAAUAUGUUACCUAUUUUUUUUUUUGGUUUUUAUAGUUUUUUUUUUUUUUUUUUUCAUUUUUCAUUGUACAAUAAUCAUACACGAUUAGUGAAUAAUAAUUACGAAUUAAUAACAUUUUAUAGGGUAGAAAAUUAGUUAGGUAGGUAUAUUAUAUUAUAUUAUAAUUUAUCAAUAAUUUUAAGUUCCGUGGCUAUGUACAUUGUACACAAUAAUAAUAAUAAAUAUUGUUAUUGUUACUUCAAAGUAAAAUUUAUCGCCGUAAUAUUACAUUAUAUUAUAAGGACGGUCAUCUCAAAAUUAACAAUUUUUUUCGUUUUUUUUUUUUUUUUUUUUGUCCAUGCUUAAAAUGUAUAAGACACAUGCUAUAGAGCUAUUAUAUUAUAGCUACGUAAUAAUAAUAUAUAUAUAUCGGUCACAGUCCUCGCUGGUAAUCUCUAUACUCGAGUGGUGUAAAAAUACCUUAAACCAAAAAAAAAAAAAAAAAACAAAACAAAACAAUAAUUAUAAUAAUAAUACAAUGAACGUGUUCGUCUACACAGAGCACAAUAAUUUUUUGUAUACAAUAAUAAUAAACAAAAAUAAUUAUUACGAUUACACUAUUUCACGUACGUAAUAAUACGAGUACAUAAUAAUAUAAUAAUGUACACCUAACGAAGCUACGGCUUAAUUUCGAAUUGUGUGUGUGUUUUUUUUUUUUUUUUUUUUUUUUUUUUCACCACUUUUGUGAUGUAUGACGACGACGGUUUGUACCGUAAAAACUGUGUUAUAAUCGACUCGCAUCACUUUUAUCAUCGCAAUAAUAUAAUAUAAUUUCCCGUCGGGCGUGCUGCGGUUUGUUUAUAAUGUAGGUAAACAACCGCGGUUUUUUUUUUCUUUCUUUUACACGGUUUUUGUUUUUUGUUUUUUUUUUUUUUUUUUUUUUUUUACAUAACGAUGACAAACACGCAGACACACACUGACUAUAGUUUGCAAUUCUUUCACCUGCUGACCGGCGUUAAUCUACAAAGAUUUUAGUUACACAAUCGGUGUCGACUAUUGAUUUUCAAACAAUCGCCCUCGUUUUUCGAAAAGAGUUUAUAACUUGAUUUGUAACUUUCGAAGGCGUGGAAAUUAAAAAAAAAAAAAUCGAUACGGGCGUAGACGUCCAACAGCGGUGCAUACGAGUAAACAUUUAAAAACAAAUUGUAAACACGAGAUCAUAAUGUUGUAUAAAGGGGUCGUGAUACAUGGAAAAGCUGAUCAGCGAUAGAAUAAUCGCCCUGUGACCUGUACGGGCAAACACGUAGCAAAAUUAUGUUACUCGGAACACUGUAAUUUAUAGAUCGAAAUCGGAAUAAAACAGAUUAUUGGAGUGAGUAUAAUAUAAGAGCAAAGCUGGGUAAGUUAAUGACUUUUUAUCUCAACUCGGUUGAGUCAAAUUUAUAUUUAAAUAAAAUCAAUAAUGUCAAUUAAUCGAAAGUUAAUUCAAAAUAAUCUGUCGAUUCAACUAAGUCAGAAGUUAACCAAAAGUUGAGACUAACCGUUUAACUCGGGUUGAGUGAAUUUGCAAUAAGAGAAAAAUGCACAUAUUUUCUAUUACCUACGUCCCUCCCGACCGGCAAUAACAGUAAAAAAUAACAAUUCGGAUUUUAAAAUGAUCAUUAUAUAUUGAUAACUAUAAUAAUAAUAGUAUAUUGAUUUACAUGAGCGUACAGACAAAAAUUAAAAUCAACUCUGGUUAAUUGAAAAUCGAUUAUUUCGUAUUCGUCAUGUGAAAAAUAUUAAUUAAAUUGUUUAAAAAAAACAAAAAAAAAAACAACUAAUUUAUCCGGUUAAAAAGCGAAUUUGAGUUUAAUUUAUUAACCCGUCAAUGUUCGGCGCCGCAAGUGAGUGUUCGGAAAAUAACAUUUAUAAGGGCCCGCUGAACGGUUAAGUUUUUUUCUAAAGAAAUCUACGUACACUGUCCCCGGAAACAUUGCUCUGCCGGUCCCGUUAGUCGCGCGUUUAAACUCCGAUUUCGACACGAACGCCGCCGCAAUAUCAAUCGCGUCGCCCGUCAGCCACGUGGCACAGACCGCAGCGGACGACGUUUCUCGGAAUCGUCCACGGAGGACGCGAUACCCUGCGCGCGUCGCGACAUUGCAAAAAGACGAACGGAUGUAUCCACACUUUGGUAACGCUUGUAUCCCGUCCGUANCGCGUCGCCGCCGUUCUACAGACGUUCUAUCGCAACGCCGGUCUUGACGUUCGGGGCGAAUCGACCCCGGAGUCGUACUUAAUUAAUGACCGGGACAUUGGCCGCACAACGUCGGCCCGAUUGUUUCGACAUUGCAAAAAGACGAACGGAUGUAUCCACACUUUGGUAACGCUUGUAUCCCGUCCGUAAGCCUCGAGAAACGCGUACGAUGCACGGGUGUUUGAUUCUGACGACGCGUCGGGUAUCGAAACGAACAGCGGCACAAAUUUGUUCCCGGCCGAACGCGAAUUGCCCACGCCGUCCUGCGCGUUCGUAUGACGGACACGGCGAACACGGGGGUAUCGCGUCCACUCGAAAGAAACAGAACCGACGGGAUUAUAUUAUAUUAUUUUUUGGUUUUUUUUUUUUCGACAAGCCGUCCGAUAGAGUUUUUUUUUUACCGUGGUCGCCACGUACAAUAUUUAUUAUUAUAUACACGGGGUGAUUUUUUCAUCGCGGACCAGCAAUUAUCUCGAAGUUUUUUAAAUGAAACUGAACCUUCCCCACACUUCCGGUCUAAACUUUAAACCGUUAUAAUUCAUUAAAGAUAAAUCCGAUACGCGUAGUGUUACGCAUAUUAAAAUGUCCGGAAAAACAUCCUCUAUUCGGACCCGUGUUCAAAAUAGAACGAGGGUUCCUAUUUGAAAAUCGAAUGUACGUACACGGAGUAGGGGUGAACAAUUUAAAAACAGUUUUUUUUUUUUUUUUUUAAAUGAAACUUAGACGAUUCCGUCUAAUGAUUAGAAAAACAAACGCAAAUCAGAUUCACUUAAAAAAAAAAAAAAACUCCGGGCUAAAUAAUUGCUGGUUCGCGAUAGAAAAAUUCACCCCGCGCAUGUCAUACUAUUUAUAUCUUUGAGAAAUCCGUAAAAAUAAUACCGUUCGAUUAACAAUAUUCCGUCGUUUUUUCUCCAGAAACAUCAGAUCUACAGUAUAAUAAUAAUAAUAAUAAUAAUAAUAAUAAUAAUAGUAUUAAUAAUAAUAAUAUAUUAAUAGAAUAUCUUCGACAUUUUAUUUUUCUUAACUAUAGAUAUCUAUUUACUUUAAUACAAUUAAUAAAUUGAGCACUUUUCUAAUAUAAUAAUAAUAAUAAUAAUAAUAAUAAUUAUUGACUUAAGUUAGAUUUCAUUAAUGUAUUUUUUGAUUUACCGAUUGGC